rnacentral:rRNA from 1 species
ACGGGGACAGCGGCGAAAGGGAGAGGAAUACGUGGAUACCCACCCCCAGGUUCAGGAUAGCUGUGGGAAACUACAGGUAAUACUGAAUAAUAUCUCCGGAUCAAAGGUGUGAUUCCACCUGAGGAGGGGUCCGCGUCCUAUUAGCUAGUUGGCGAGGUAACGGCUCACCAAGGCGAAGAUGGGUACGGGAUGUGAGAGCAUGAUCCCGCUCACUGGGACUGAGACACUGCCCAGACACCUACGGGUGGCUGCAGUCGAGAAUCUUCGGCAAUGGGGGAAACCCUGACCGAGCGACGCCGCGUGCGAGAUGAAGGCCUUCGGGUUGUAAAUCGCUGUCAGAGGGGAGGAAAUGCUAGUGGGUUCUCCCAUUAGUUUGACCUAUCCUCAGAGGAAGGACGGGCUAAGUUCGUGCCAGCAGCCGCGGUAAGACGAACCGUCCAAACGUUAUUCGGAAUCACUGGGCUUAAAGGGUGCGUAGGCGGUCCGGGAAGUUGGGUGUGAAAGCCCUCAGCUCAACUGAGGAAUAGCGCCCAAAACUGCCGGGCUUGAGGGAGACAUAGGUGAGCGGAACUUAGGGUGGAGCGGUGAAAUGCGUUGAGAUCCUAAGGAACACCAGUAGCGAAAGCGGCUCACUGGGUCUCUUCUGACGCUGAUGCACGAAAGCUAGGGGAGCGAAGAGGAUUAGAUACCCUCGUAGUCCUA